AAAGGCCAAACGCAACAGAACAAUGAAUCAAAUAAUCCUCGAAAAGGCUAUACGCAAAACCUAGGUCCUGAACCAAUGGACGUCGAUCCCACAUCACGUUCUAAAUUUAGGGGCGAGCAGACAGCUCGCAGUCGUCAACGGUUGAACCAUACGACUCAAGAGCAGGCAAAUGACCAGGAGUAUAGGAUAAAACCAUCCUACGAAGCAGCGGAAAUCGAGGCAGAUAACACGUCCGAUUCCGAAUGAUGUAAUUUUUUAGGGGAACGUCCCUGCAUCCGUACAUAAUUCGUACUAUAGCGGGACGGGAAAUUAUGUUACUGUUGGAUACAAAAAUUACAUAAGACAUCUAACAAAUUUAAAACACUUCAAGCCGGUGGAAACACCAUUUAAAGUCACAUCAAACCAUGGUCAUACAAAAAUAGAGCAAAAGUAUCUGAUCCAUCUAUUCAAUGUUAAGUCAUACUUCUUCUUGUUAAACAACCUGAACGGAUAUGACGGAAUUGUUGGACUGGAUGUGCCAAAAAGGGUCAAAAAUUGAUCUAACAAAAACAUCAUCGAACAUACGGAGCACAUUUUUUACUCAAAAUGCAGAAUUGUAAACUUUAUUAACAUCGAUGACGUGGGCGUGCCAAACGCCGUCAACGAAGAUUUCAAAAGGAUGAUAAAAAACUAGAAGGUCAUAGGAAAAAACGUCUCGUUAUUGAUAUCAGGAAACUGAAUCAGAAAACAAUUGAUGACAAGUAUCCCAUACCAUCCAUGUCGACUAUACUGUCGAACAUUGGAAAAGCUCAGUACUUCACAACUCUUGAUCUGAAGUCGGGCUUCCAUCAAAUUGAGCUCGCGGAGCGCGAUCGGAAAAAGACAGCUUUUUCGGUCAACGGGGUAUGAAUUCUGCAAACUUCCUUUCUUUUUAAAAAAAAAAUACCCCUAGUAUUUUCCAACGGGCCAUAGAUGAUGUUCUGAGAGAACACAUCGGUAAAACUUGCUAUGUCUACGUCGAUGACGUAAUCAUUUUCUUCCAAACAAUGGAGAGUCAUGUCAACGAUAUAAAGUUCCAAAAACUUUGUGCAUUGCAGCCUAGCGGCCUAGGCAAUAGUAUGGGCACUUCAAAAUCUUAGAAAUUAUUUAUAUGGUGUAAAGAAGCUAAACAUCUUCACCGACCAUCAACCACAUCGCUACUAUCCACAGCGAGUAGUCGAUGACCUACACUGUAGAGUCAACAGAAAAGCUUUAGACAUUAACAAACAGUACAGAGCAAAGCGAAAUUAUGACCACGGAAAACGUAAAACAGGUCCUUCGUGACUACUUUUUUCCCAAAAUGGGCCAGCUAGCGGCAGAAAUCACCGCAAAUUGCAGAACGCGUUCCAAAGCAAAAUACAAUCGUCAUCCUGUGCAACAAACCAUAGCGGAAACACUAAUUCCCGGUUAUACUGGGGAAAUUAUCCACAUAGAUAUAUUUUCAACUGAUCAAAAGCAUUUUCUAACUUGUAUCGACAAAUUCAAUUCAAAAUUCGCUAUAGUCCAACCAAUCUAUUCAAUAGCAAUCGCAGAUAUCAAAACUCCGAUACUACAACUAAUAAGUCUGUUCCCCAAAAUAAAAACGGUUUACUGCGACAAUGAAAGGUCUAUCAACUCACAAACCAUCCGAAACAUCCUAGAAAAUAGGUAUGGUAUACAGGUCUCAAAUGCGCACCCGUUGCACAGCACAUCUAAUGGCCAAGUUGAGAGAUUUCAUAGCAUCCUAGCGAAAAUCGCACGGUGCAUCAAGAUAGAUCAAAACAUAACCGAGGCGACCGACCUUAUUCUAUUCGCAACAAUAGAAUAUAACAGAACUGUCCACUCGGUUACAAAUAAAAAGCCUCACGAAAUAGUUCACGCUAUUCCACCAGAUCAUGCGGGCACAAUAAGAGACAUGAUCAAAGAGGCUCGAGAGAUAACACUUAAGUACUCAAGUGCACACAAACGCAAUAAGCAGUACCAAGUAGGCAAAAAAAUUCCUGUUUAAAAACCAACAGCCGCCUGGGUACCAAAUUAACGCCAUUCGGCUCAGAAGAGGAGCACAUGAGACUGGUACUUGAAACGGACUUGGAACGAAAAGACCCUCUUCUGGACACAUUAAAGGUACGUCACCAACAUGCCCGUAGUCUUAAUUUCAUAGGGACUGAUUUGAAAGCAAUAGCGGGGACACCUGACUCUGACGACUGGGACCAGGUGAGGUUUAGACAGAACUGCUAACGGACUCGGUAAACGGAAAGAUAGAAAUAAACGACAAAAUACAAUUGCAAUGACUGACCUCAUCCAUGAAUUCUUUUUUAAAAUCGGGCAACUUAGACACAGAACAUUUUGACAAAAAACCGUGUUGUAAUUCAAGAACUUUAAAAUUUAAUACUUGCAAUCACCCUUUCCAAAUUAAACGUAAUAAGUCCAAUAAUCUUGAAUGACGUUGACGUAAAGGAGAUUGAAAGUAAACAUUCCACAAACAUUACCGUGUCAGAUAUUUUAGAGGUAGCUAGCAUAAAAACUUUUUAAAAUCGAGAACUAUUGUACUUUUUAUUAAAAUUUCCGUCCCUUGUUAACUUGUAGAAAAAUAAGAAUAUUAGAAUAUUAAUAAAUAAGAAUAUAAGGAGAAAAUAAGAAUAGAAUCUUAGAUUUCGAAGACGGUAGCACGGUCGCGGAUUGCGGGACGGAAACCUUCGCCGUCAAAGACUGCAACCUAUCAGCGGGCAGGAGAUCGAAAGCGCCAACCUGCGCACAACAACUCAUUUUUGGCAUGGUCGCCCAUUGCAACACCCAGCCUGGAGACUUGGACCCAGUCACCAUGAUAGACGAAGGAAUGCUCUCCACCAACGAUGAAACUAUAAAUAUAACCGACGAAAAGGGAAUAAGCCGGAUAAUAUCAGGAACAUACCUGGUAUCAUAUACCGAAAAAAUUAAAAUAAGCGGCACCCUUUACGUCAACAAUAUCGAAACAUCAAAGAAGAGAGCCGCAGUUUCACCCAUGGCUCAAGUAAACGUUCUGAGACAUCUAGAGCGCCUUAGUCUGUCAUCAAUUCACGGAAUGAGCGUUAACAAUCUGCACCACAUCAACCACCUUCAAUCCCGACUGCCAUCAGGCAACACCUGGAUCUUUUGCUCUGUCUCCUCUACAACCUCAAUAACCCUGGUCAUCAUCUUUCCUAUCUACCGUCUGAAAGCCAAACGUCAACAACCGUCAAGACCAUUGAAUCCGGGGACGACUUCAUCUUAAGACAAGUUAGGAGUUAACACGAGCAAGUCAGAGGGGUGCAACGACCCGCCGAAAUGCCAUCCAAGAUCCGAUGUGCCAACAAUAGCAUGAUGCUCCAGACGGCACGAGGCGCUGACUAAGGGCUCUGCUAGGUCCGCUGCCCCAACCGAAGACUUGGCGGCCUUAAUAAAUUUGAGCAGUUGGUUCUAAUAAAAGAACCAUUUAAUAAUACAAACGGUUUCGGUUUAAUUUGUAUAAAGAUAAAACACCUGGGAUACACACAACCACGCAUCGCGUGACCACGGAUUAAGUUCUGGUCACCUGCCUCCAUCAGCCCGAGCUCAUAAAAAAAUCUAUUCAGAAUUCAUUAAAAUUUAUUCAUUUAUAACUAACAUUAAACAAAGAUAAAAUUUAGUUGGACAAAAAUGAAACAUAUAAAAAAAAUAAAUAACUGAAAUUA